rnacentral:lncRNA from 1 species
UGGCACCUCACUUUGUCUCCACACACUAGUCAUCCAUCUAAAGACACUAGCAUGGAGUUACCAAGUUCUGCUUAUGACCAUGGUGGCCCAGAUGCUGCUGGAGUUAUCCGCAGAAAUGGCAAGGAUCACAACAAAAUAUCCAAUUUUGGCCCAGCAGAGAGGAAACUUUUACCACGAUGGCCGCCCGAUGACCUGAAUGGAAAGAAUUGGUGGCCCCGGGAGAGCACACAAUUGAGAGAAGUGAUCACAUCACCAGAUGUGACGUCACAGUUUGGCACCAGCUGCCAUCCUGGGCACAGAGAAUGCACAGUCCACUCAAGUCUGAGCUUCCUCUCUGGAUUCCCCUGGGGUUCAGUACAGAGCACUGUACAGUGGUGUAACCUCUAUACUGGACUGAUGGAAAAACUAAGUUUGCUUAUAUGGUAUAUUACAUUGACUGGGUUUUGUAUGUUGGAUUAUUUCUGCAUCUCUGGGAUUAAUUCUACUUGGUGGAUGAUCUUUUUGAUAUGUUCUUAG